rnacentral:rRNA from 1 species
AACGAACGCUGGCGGCAGGCCUAACACAUGCAAGUCGAGCGGACCCUUCGGGGUUAGCGGCGGACGGGUGAGUAACGCGUGAGAAUAUGCCCUUCUCUACGGAAUAGUCCUGGGAAACUGGGGGUAAUACCGUAUACGCCCUUUGGGGGUAAGAUUUAUCGGGGAAGGAUUAGCCCGCGUUGGAUUAGGUAGUUGGUGGGGUAAUGGCCUACCAAGCCGACGAUCCAUAGCUGGUUUGGGAGGAUGAUCAUCCACACUGGGACUGAGACACGGCCCAGACUCCGACGGGAGGCAGCAGUAGGGAAUCUUAGACAAUGGGGGCAACCCUGAUCUAGCCAUGCCGCGUGAGUGAUGAAGGCCUUUGGGUUGUAAAGCUCUUUCAGCUGGGAAGAUAAUGACGGUACCAGCAGAAGAAGCCCCGGCUAACUCCGUG